rnacentral:rRNA from 1 species
CAAGAGAGCUUGCUCUCGGGUGACGAGUGGCGGACGGGUGAGUAAUGUCUGGGAAACUGCCUGAUGGAGGGGGAUAACUACUGGAAACGGUAGCUAAUACCGCAUAACGUCGCAAGACCAAAGAGGGGGACCUUCGGGCCUCUUGCCAUCAGAUGUGCCCAGAUGGGAUUAGCUUGUAGGCGGGGUAAUGGCCCACCUAGGCGACGAUCCCUAGCUGGUCUGAGAGGAUGACCAGCCACACUGGAACUGAGACACGGUCCAGACUCCUACGGGAGGCAGCAGUGGGGAAUAUUGCACAAUGGGCGCAAGCCUGAUGCAGCCAUGCCGCGUGUGUGAAGAAGGCCUUCGGGUUGUAAAGCACUUUCAGCGGGGAGGAAGGCGGUACGGUUAAUAACCGUGCUGAUUGACGUUACCCGCAGAAGAAGCACCGGCUAACUCCGUGCCAGCAGCCGCGGUAAUACGGAGGGUGCAAGCGUUAAUCGGAAUUACUGGGCGUAAAGCGCACGCAGGCGGUCUGUCAAGUCGGAUGUGAAAUCCCCGGGCUCAACCUGGGAACUGCAUUCGAAACUGGCAGGCUGGAGUCUCGUAGAGGGAGGUAGAAUUCCAGGUGUAGCGGUGAAAUGCGUAGAGAUCUGGAGGAAUACCGGUGGCGAAGGCGGCCUCCUGGACA